rnacentral:rRNA from 1 species
CCUACGGGUGGCAGCAGUGGGGGAUAUUGCACAAUGGGCGAAAGCCUGAUGCAGCGACGCCGCGUGAGGGAAGACGGUCUUCGGAUUGUAAACCUCUGUCUUUGGGGAAGAAAAUGACGGUACCCAAAGAGGAAGCUCCGGCUAACUACGUGCCAGCAGCCGCGGUAAUACGUAGGGAGCAAGCGUUGUCCGGAAUUACUGGGUGUAAAGGGAGCGUAGGCGGGGAUGCAAGUUGGGUGUCAAAACUACCGGCUCAACUGGUAGUCGCACUCAAAACUGCAGCUCUUGAGUGAAGUAGAGGCAGGCGGAAUUCCUAGUGUAGCGGUGAAAUGCGUAGAUAUUAGGAGGAACACCAGUGGCGAAGGCGGCCUGCUGGGCUUUUACUGACGCUGAGGCUCGAAAGUGUGGGGAGCAAACAGGAUUAGAUACCCCAGUAGUC